rnacentral:rRNA from 1 species
UACGUAGGGCGCAAGCGUUAUCCGGAAUUAUUGGGCGUAAAGAGCUCGUAGGCGGUUUGUCGCGUCUGCCGUGAAAGUCCGGGGCUCAACUCCGGAUCUGCGGUGGGUACGGGCAGACUAGAGUGAUGUAGGGGAGACUGGAAUUCCUGGUGUAGCGGUGAAAUGCGCAGAUAUCAGGAGGAACACCGAUGGCGAAGGCAGGUCUCUGGGCAUUAACUGACGCUGAGGGCGAAAGCAUGGGGAGCGAACAGG